rnacentral:rRNA from 1 species
GAGUUUGAUCAUGGCUCAGAUUGAACGCUGGCGGCAUGCCUUACACAUGCAAGUCGAACGGCAGCGGGGGAAAGCUUUGCUUUCCUGCCGGCGAGUGGCGAACGGGUGAGUAAUACAUCGGAACGUGCCCUGUAGUGGGGGAUAACUAGUCGAAAGAUUAGCUAAUACCGCAUACGACCUGAGGGUGAAAGUGGGGGACCGCAAGGCCUCAUGCUAUAGGAGCGGCCGAUGUCUGAUUAGCUAGUUGGUGGGGUAAAGGCCUACCAAGGCGACGAUCAGUAGCUGGUCUGAGAGGACGAUCAGCCACACUGGGACUGAGACACGGCCCAGACUCCUACGGGAGGCAGCAGUGGGGAAUUUUGGACAAUGGGCGGAAAGACCUGAUCCAGCAAUGCCGCGUGUGUGAAGAA